AACGAACGCUGGCGGCAUGCCUAACACAUGCAAGUCGAACGGGACCUUCGGGUCUAGUGGCGCACGGGUGCGUGACGCGUGGGAACCUGCCCUUAGGUUCGGAAUAACUCCCCGAAAGGGGUCCUAAUACCGCUGAAUGUCUUCGGACCAAAGAUUUACCGCCAUUGGAUGGGCCCGCGUUAGAUUCGCUAGUUGGUAGGGGAAAAGCCUACCAAGGCGACGAUCCAUAGCUGGUCGGAGAGGAGGACCAGCCACACUGGGACUGAGACACGGCCCAGACUCCUACGGGAGGGAGCAGUGGGGAAUAUUGGAGAAGGGGCGAAAGCCUGAUCCAGCAAUGCCGGGUGAGUGAUGAAGGCCUUAGGGUUGUAAAGCUCUUUUACCCGGGAUGAUAAUGACAGUACCGGGAGAAUAAGCUCCGGCUAACUCCGUG
rnacentral:rRNA from 1 species